rnacentral:lncRNA from 1 species
GACCCUCUUAGAAAAUGAGAAUUUAUUUUUCUGAAAAAUGAAAUCUUUCUUUAUCAUAAUCAUUGUUUGGGAUAAUUUUUGUUCUAGUUUUGAUUUUGAUUUCAGGAACCCACCUGGAGAACAGGGUGAGGAAAUUGUAAGUCGAGAGCCCACCCGGAGAACAGGGUGAUGAAAUUUCAGGUCGGGAGCCCACCUGAAGAAUAGGGUGAUAAAAUUAAGAAUUGGAAGCCCGUCCAAAG